rnacentral:lncRNA from 1 species
UAUGUUUUUAAACCAGUUAAGGCAAUAAUCGAUCAUUAUAAUUAUAAUGUACAUCUAUAUGGUAUCAUGGCGCUGUCGUGUAAAAACGCAUAAAGAUAAUUUUAGUAGACUAAUAAAUAAUUGAUGCAUUGUAAUUUAAAAGAAUUUUCAAUUUUGAGAAUUUCAAUUUUUUAAUAAUUAUUGUAUUAUUUUCAAAUAAUUAAUUAAUGUAUGAAACAUUUUACUCUCUAGCAUGAUGUGGUCCCUAAUAACAAGAAUUGUGCAUAGAAAUAUACCAUACAUAGCACUUCCAUUUGGUUGUGUUAUCGGUUUUAUUGGAUACCAUAUA